rnacentral:rRNA from 1 species
UACGGAGGGAGCUAGCGUUGUUCGGAAUUACUGGGCGUAAAGCGCGCGUAGGCGGCCUUGCAAGUUAGAGGUGAAAGCCCGGAGCUCAACUCCGGAACUGCCUUUAAAACUGCAUAGCUUGAAUCCGGGAGAGGUGAGUGGAAUUCCGAGUGUAGAGGUGAAAUGCGUAGAUAUCGGAAGGAACACCUGUGGCGAAAGCGGCUCACUGGACCAUAACUGACGCUGAGGCGCGAAAGCUAGGGGAGCAAACAGG